rnacentral:tRNA from 1 species
GGAGAGGUGCCAGAGUGGUUUAACGGGCACGCUUGGAAAGCGUGUGUCCAGGGUAACCUGGACCGCGGGUUCGAAUCCCGCCCUCUCCG